AUUGAACGCUGGCGGCAUGCCUUACACAUGCAAGUCGAACGGCAGCGCGGGGCAACCUGGCGGCGAGUGGCGAACGGGUGAGUAAUAUAUCGGAACAUGCCCAGAAGUGGGGAUAACGUAGCGAAGUUACGCUAAUACCGCAUACGAUCUACGGAUGAAAGUGGGGGACCGCAAGGCCUCAUGCUUUUGGAGUGGCCGAUAUCUGAUUAGCUAGUUGGUGGGUAAAGGCCUACCAAGGCGACGAUCAGUAGCUGGUCUGAGAGGACGACCAGCCACACUGGAACUGAGACACGGUCCAGACUCCUACGGGAGGCAGCAGUGGGGAAUUUUGGACAAUGGGGGCAACCCUGAUCCAGCAAUGCCGCGUGUGUGAAGAAGGCCUCGGUUGUAAAGGACACUUUAAGUUAGGGUAGGAAGGGGACGAGUAAGUUAAUACCUUAGCUGUUUGUACGUUACCUAACAGAAUAAGACACCGGCUAACUUCGUG
rnacentral:rRNA from 1 species